GGUUUCACCAGCAGGGCUGUCUUUCCAGCAAAAUCACUGUCUGUCAGGAAGUAUAACACAGCCAAAAAAAAAAUCGAAAUAGAAAAUAGCAAUAAUAAGAAUAAUUUGUUGUGCACCUACUAUGUGACAGGACUUUAUGUAUAGUUUAUCUCUAAUCCUUCUCAACAACCCUGAAAAGUAGUGCUAAUAUUCUUAUGUUACGGAAGUCAUCCCUGGUUCAAUAGAGCCUUGUCCAAGGUUUAACAAGUGUAGAGGAGGACUGUGGAGCUCAGUGGCAGAGCAAAUGCUUAGCAUGCUUGAGGACCUGGGUUCCAUCUCCAGCAACCCCCGUCCCCAACAAAAGGUAGAACCAAGACUCGAACGUGCAUCUCACUCCUGCCUCUGAGGACUUUGCACUGUUGUGCUCUCUCAAUACCAUAGAUACUAGGUAGCCACCAACAGGAAAUGCAAGGACCCCAGGUUUCAUAGAUCAGAUCCCAAAUCCACAGUGCAGGUUCAUGAAUUCACUUCAAGUGCAUCUGUAUGCAUUCUUCUAAUCAACUUCUAAUCAGCCUCCUUUAACUGCAUUCAAAUUUAAUGGGCAUCCCUACCCAAUAAUGGAAAUAGAACUGGUCUUGUUUGCCUUGUGCUGAUGGAGCACCUGCUGUGGUUCGGCACCAGGGACAGGACAGCAUGCAGGUCUCAGUCUGUCACCAGUGCUGUGGCACGGCGGCUGUGAGCUCUGCAGCAAGUUUUCAAAUGCAUUGAUUUUUAAGCUCAAUACCUCUGCCGCUGCGUCUCAUUAGUUGCUUCAGCCGACCUCUGCUCAACCCACAGGACGCCUAACCAAUCAUGCAGCAAAGCUUUGUGGACUGCAUUUUUGUUUUUUUAUUUGUGUUAUCAGAAGUGAGAAGUCUUGCAUUGGAGGCCAGCUCUGCGUUGUGAUCGUGGGCUUCUUUGAGCAUCAAAGUGGGGAUGGGGACCUCUGUCUCCAGAGCUCUGGCUCAGACCUUCAGCGUGACCCCCAAACAUUCACCGUCUCGUGUCCAGCCCCCACCCCAUGAAAAUUUUCUUUACCAUCUGGACCCCAUCUUUGUUCCCCAGUGCUGGGGAUCGAAGCCGGGGCCUCACACCUGCUAGCACGGUCUAGCCCUGGACCCUGUGACGGUCAUCUCUGUUUCCUUCACAGUCCUCAGAGCAGUGGUGGCAUAGAGGGGACCUCAGCGAAUACUGAAGGAGGAAAGAGCCAUGUCAUGAGCACGGGAAAGGGCGUGGGGUGACAGCCCUCCAGGUGGACAAGACUUCAUUCUGUAAUCAUCCCAGCUGUCAAAAAGACAUUCCCAGAAAGCGGUUCCCAGGGAGGGCAAGGACAUUGCUGUAGGACUCAGUGAGGAUGUGAUUCUGAGGGAAGAUGAGUCGUGACCGCCGAGUGCUCUCCUUGUGUGCUGUUCUUCCAAAAAAGGCUCUGGGUACACAGGUACG
rnacentral:lncRNA from 1 species